rnacentral:rRNA from 1 species
UACAGAGGUGGCAAGCGUUGUUCGGAAUUACUGGGCGUAAAGGGCUCGUAGGCGGCCAACUAAGUCAGACGUGAAAUCCCUCGGCUUAACCGGGGAACUGCGUCUGAUACUGGAUGGCUAGAGGUUGGGAGAGGGAUGCGGAAUUCCAGGUGUAGCGGUGAAAUGCGUAGAUAUCUGGAGGAACACCGGUGGCGAAGGCGGCAUCCUGGACCAAUUCUGACGCUGAGGAGCGAAAGCCAGGGGAGCAAACGGGG